rnacentral:rRNA from 1 species
UACAGAGGUCCCGAGCGUUGUUCGGAUUUAUUGGGCGUAAAGGGUGCGUAGGCGGCGGAGUAAGUUGGGUGUGAAAUCCCGAGGCUCAACCUCGGAAUUGCAUUCAAUACUGCUUCGCUCGAGUACUAGAGAGGAGACUGGAAUUUACGGUGUAGCGGUGAAAUGCGUAGAUAUCGUAAGGAAGACCAGUGGCGAAGGCGGGUCUCUGGACAGUUCCUGACGCUGAGGAGCGAAAGCCAGGGGAGCAAACGGG